rnacentral:rRNA from 1 species
UACGGGGGGGGCAAGCGUUGUUCGGAAUUACUGGGCGUAAAGGGCUCGUAGGUGGCCAACUAAGUCAGACGUGAAAUCCCUCGGCUUAACCGGGGAACUGCGUCUGAUACUGGAUGGCUUGAGUUUGGGAGAGGGAUGCGGAAUUCCAGGUGUAGCGGUGAAAUGCGCAGAUAUCAGGAGGAACACCCAUUGCGAAGGCAGCUCGCUGGGACGUUACUGACGCUGAGACGCGAAAGCGUGGGGAGCAAACAGG